GCCUGCGGCCUCACCUGCCUGGCCAGCCAGAGCUUGGGCUUCAGUGCUGAGACUCUGCAGUGGCCAGCGAGGACACACGGUGGAACCCUGAAGAAGGGAGACGACGCACCGGGAUGGGAGGAGACAGGGCACGUGGCUUCGACUGUUGGUGGGCCUCAAGAUGGCCACGUUGCUGUUCAAAGGAAGGAAGGACCCGGGGACUUCGCAGGGGAUCAUCCCUGGCAGGCAGGCUGGCCCCACCCCAGGAUCUCAGAGUCUGGGGCCCAGACUGUGGUUUAACCUUUCCAUGUGGCAGGCGGGUGUAAGGGCUGUUUAUCAGACAAGGGGAUUUUUUUGCUUACGAACUAUCUGCUUCAGUUUGGGGGAAACUGGUGGGCUGAGGUGGCAGAAAUGAGAGCCCUCAGCUCUGCCAGGGUGGGGAGGGGCACGUUCACUGACCUUUACUUGUACUUUUACCUCCAUCCCCGGCCUGGUUUUAACUGCUCAGUUUUCUUUUUCGCUACACUGAGAUAUACCAAGAGAGCCCCAGAAAAACCAUCACUGAUAGAGAAAUUCUGAGAAGAGAAAAAUAAAUAACCAGAGGAAGGCAAAGGGAGCGAACACCAA